UAAACAAAAAACUGAAUGCACUGGUCAAUUUUGAGCAUUUGUACUUAAAUGUCUCUAAAUUUACCAGAUAGUAUAAUACAAGUUUUUAGAAAGUUUUUAUUUGUAGAUACUACAAUUGAUACAAAUGUAUUGCCUGGCACGCAUAUUCAAGUUGAUAUUUUGCAGCAUAGUUCAAAAAAUGAUAAACAAUUAAAAACUUAUUCUCGUAAGAGGCUUCACGAAGAUGAGAUUGUCGGUGACCAACAUGAAAAAGUUAAACUUGUACGUCACAGUCCCAGUCCUCAAAGCACACAGACAGUUCUAAAGUUCACUGUAGAUUAUCCAGAUACUCCAUCUUCCACAAAAUCUAAUAUUAAAAAAAAAUCAAGAGUUUUAAGUGUUCAGUUAACUUUAAACGUUAACUAACAUUAAAAAAAAAAAGUUUAAAGCUCAAAAAAAUAAGUAUUUACGCCUUAAAAAGAAAGCAAAUCUAGCGUCUAAAAACUUUUUGGCAAAUUUACUUAAAGGAAAAAGUACAGCUGUAAAAACACUAAUUAACAUGCAGUUAUCUCCAACGAGGAAAAAAGUUUGGACGACCAAUGAGCGACAUUUGGCACUUUCUCUUUAUUAUAAGUCUUAUUCUUAUUUAUCUUAUUAAAAGCUUAUUGAAUUUUU
rnacentral:lncRNA from 1 species